rnacentral:pre_miRNA from 1 species
GCUGUACGGGCGCGGUAUGGCCCCGAAACGCGGCUGGUCGUACCGUAUGGAGUUUCCCUUUCGAGAAACACCGUACGGUACGGCCAACAGCGUUUCGGGGCCGUACCGUACCCGUUUCGGC